rnacentral:rRNA from 1 species
UACAGAGGGGGCAAGCGUUGUUCGGAAUUACUGGGCGUAAAGGGCGCGUAGGCGGCCGCCUAAGUCAGACGUGAAAUCCCUCGGCUCAACCGGGGAACUGCGUCUGAUACUGGGUGGCUUGAAUUCGGGAGAGGGAUGCGGAAUUCCAGGUGUAGCGGUGAAAUGCGUAGAUAUCUGGAGGAACACCGGUGGCGAAGGCGGCAUCCUGGACCGAGAUUGACGCUGAGUGAGCGAAAGCCAGGGGAGCAAACGGGAUUAAGAUGACCCCGGU